AUUGAACGCUGGCGGCGUGCCUAACACAUGCAAGUCGAGCGGUAACAGGUGUAGCAAUACAUGCUGACGAGCGGCGAACGGGUGAGUAAUGCUUCGGAAUCUACCUUAUGGUGGGGAAUAACUAGCCGAAAGGUUAGCUAAUACCGCAUACGUCCUACGGGAGAAAGCAGGGGAUCGCAAGAACUUGCGCCAAAAGAUGAGCCGAAGUCGGAUUAGCUAGUUGGUAGGGUAACGGCCUACCAAGGCGACGAUCCGUAGCUGGUCUGAGAGGACGAUCAGCCACACUGGAACUGAGACACGGUCCAGACUCCUACGGGAGGCAGCAGUGGGGAAUAUUGGACAAUGGGCGCAAGCCUGAUCCAGCCAUGCCGCGUGUGUGAAGAAGGCCUUCGGGUUGUAAAGCACUUUCAGCGAGGAGGAAGGGUGAUGUGUUAAUAGCACAUCAUUUUGACGUUACUCGCAGAAGAAGCACCGGCUAACUCUGUGCCAGCCGCCGCGGUAA
rnacentral:rRNA from 1 species